rnacentral:rRNA from 1 species
AGCGGNGGAANGCNUAGAUAUAUGNAAGANCNCCAGUGGNGAAGGCGGCUNNNGGUCUGCAACUGACGNUGAGANUNGAAAGCAUGGGUAGCGAACAGGAUUAGAUACCUGGUAGNNCAUGCCGUAAACGAUGAGUGNUAGGUGUUGGAGGGUUUCCNCCCUUCAGUGCCGGAGNUAACGCAUUAAGCACUCCGCCUGGGGAGUACGACCGCAAGGUUGAAACUCAAAGGAAUUGACGGGGGCCCGCACAAGCGGUGGAGCAUGUGGUUUAAUUNGAAGCUACGCGAAGAACCUUACCAGGUCUUGACAUCUUGCGCCAACCCUAGAGAUAGGGCGUUUCCUUCGGGAACGCAAUGACAGGUGGUGCAUGGUCGUCGUCAGCUCGUGUCGUGAGAUGUUGGGUUAAGUCCCGCAACGAGCGCAACCCUUGUUACUAGUUGCCAGCAUUAAGUUGGGCACUCUAGUGAGACUGCCGGUGACAAACCGGAGGAAGGUGGGGACGACGUCAGAUCAUCAUGCCCCUUAUGACCUGGGCUACACACGUGCNNCAANGGACGGUACAACGAGUCGCGA